CUAAAAACUUAGAAGGGCAAUAGUAGAUAUUUAGUAGAAAAAACCAGAGAGCUGAUGGCUGCUGAAAAUCAGCCUACUAAAUAUUCGAAUCCAGCCUGGAGUUGUAAGGAAGAAAAGAAUUUUCUGAGUAAUCCAAACCGGAGAAGUCCGUUAAAACUUUUUAAGCGGCAGUUAAUUUGUCAUUAGGGUGGCACCACGGGAAAUCCUCGUCCCUUUU
rnacentral:ncRNA from 1 species